AUCAAAUGGAAUCUGGAAAUCCUAAGGGCUGUAUUUACCUUAAAUAGAAUGCCACUUCAACUUAGAGGUUACAGUCUGGGAGGCAAUACCAGAGGCUUCAGAUCACACGAACACAGAAAGGAAAGCGACAAGGGCUGCUCUGAAAGUAGUGCCUCCUAUUUUAUUACACUGGUCCACGACAUCAUAGGCACAUGUUGGUGGUUGCUGUGUGACAGACAGCAGCAGAGGGGCAGUCUGACGGAAUGGUGUCCAACAUGGGAGUGCAGAUGAAGCAAAGCCCAACUUGCAGGUACUCCCAGUCUGCAGGUCUUCCAGAAAUGGAGCAAGGCAUCCCACUGCCACUCAGUUUGAUGGGAGAACAAAGUGAUCUACUCCUGACAGUCAUCAUCCCUAGGAUAAUGAAGCAAACAUGGAUGGUUCCUUGGCUGGUGCAGCCUUGCAAUUUCAUCUCUUGUCAAGAGUUUACUGUGGUAUGUCAGCUCUGGACUUGGACUUUAAUAAGAGUACCCUGCCUGUGAGGAGGCUGGAGGGGCACAAGGAGCUGGGAGAGGACAGAACCAGGACCCAAACUGUCAAAGGAAUAUGCCAUACCAGAAGGCAUCAUGCUGAAUAAUAAAACUGGAAUGAAUUUCC